rnacentral:lncRNA from 1 species
UGGCCCUUUGUGCACUUUUUCUUUUAAAACUUUUCUCAAAGUUUAAACAUGAGUCAUUUCAAUAUUUGAGAUAUAAUUCUCCUAUCCCCAUAGUAUUGAUGAUUAUUCUUCUCCAUUUAAGACAUCUAGUGGAGCCCUUCUCAUGAUUAUGCAAGAUCUCAUACUUGUGGGUGACUAGUUGAGUAUUCUCCUUAAAAUUACAAAAUUUCAUUUCAUUAAAAAUGAAUCAAAACAAACACCUUUGUUAUGUUUACCAUGAACUACACGAUUUUGAUCCUCCAUUUCACUUUAUUGGCACGUAGGUAGAGACUUCAAAAGAUCUUGGCAAACACAAAAAUUAUAAAAAAAAUAUUUCUUUUCCCAUCUCUCUAAUCUUUUGCAAACAAUAUCCAUUUUCAAACCAAAAGGAACAUUUUCAAAGAGGUUCUCAUGGAGUACCAUGGAUGUUUAGGGUGUUAAUACCUCCCAUUUUCAUAACUAACCUCGGAUCCUUGUUCUCUUUUUAUUAGUUUUUGUCUUAAAACAUCUUCGGGUUUUGUUCAUACUUUUUCCCUUUUCCUUUGGAAACAAUAAAAGCGUGGUGGAGACUCUUUCUUUGUGAGUUAAGUUAAUCAAUAUCUUAAUCUCAAAAAUUUACCGAUAUACAUACACAAUACAAAAAUAAAACCAGUUAGAGCAAAUGCACAUCAAUCAUACUCAAUAUACAUGAUACAUACUACUUGAACAUACAUACACCACAAAGUUGGCACCACUCAAAUUCACGUUUACAAUAAAAAACAAAUUCAAAUUCCAACUUAUUUCAUUUAAGUUUCAACAAACACAAACUAAAUGAAAUUGGAAUUCAUAACCAACAGAAAAUAUACUCCAAAUCGAUCCUCACCCUUGAUCAAACAUGUUCACACAUAUCACUAGCCAACCUGAUCCCUGAUCCCAAAUCUCAUACAAUCUGAGUUACACAAAACCCACACGCCUAGCCACACACGUACAAAAGCAUCACCCAAACAAAGAGAAGAAGGAGAGGGCGGUAUUGAAGCAAGCAAAGCAGAGAGAUUGAGAUUUACCUAGAUAUCACUUGAAGCACUCGAGCUUGGUAGAUCCUUCAUUGAACUUGAUUUAUUGUUGAACCUUUACUUCACUUGUUAUUUCGCAUUUUCAUUCCCGUUUGAAACAUGUAAUGGCGAUGAGUUAUUGAAAUACGGGGUUUAGGGUUUGGAAUUUGGGGCUAAGGGUUAUUCUUGUAUUUUGCUUGAUUAUUUGGGUGUUUUGAUUGCAAAAUCGUGUUUACGAGUGUGAAAUAAACAAGGUUUAUGUUGAUAUUUAUUGGUUUUUGUGAGUAAAGGUUCGUAGAAUCCUGGUCCCCCGAUCCGACCAUUUGGUGAAGUUGUUGCUUUUUUGGAGGCCGAAAUUGAGUAGAAGACAAAAAAAUAGAGAGAGUUGGUGUUGUUUCGUUUUGGAUCUGGGUGGUUUUCUGAUGAGUAUGGCCAGUGAAGACGGUGGCGGCCACCGUAGACCGUCGUCCUCUUCAUCUCUGACGAGGCAGGUUAAUGUGAAAGGUAGUUUAUAGCGGUAAAUUCAUGACCAUUAAGCUAUAGAUAAAUUUAACGUCAAUAAAACCAGAGUCGCCACCGCGCUUUUAUUAUUUUCAAAGGAAAAGGGAAAAGUACGAACAAAACCCAAAGAUAAGAAGUUUUAAAAUUAAAACUAAUAAAAUGCUAGAGAUUACAGGUAAGGGGGUUGGUUACACAGAGGGAAGGUGUUAGCACCCAAAGUGUCCUAAGUACUCCUAGGGAGCCUUUUUUUAUGUGUGUAAGUGUUUUUGAUAUAAAAGAUGUUUGCAACAAAUAGAUAGUGGGGAUGAGAAAAGAAUUCAUUAAUUUAUUUUUGUGUUUGAUAAAACCUUCAGACUUGUGCCUACGUGCCAACAUAAAAAUGAGGGAUCAAAACCUCGUAGUUCGUGGCAUCAAUUUCAAAAUGAGUGGAUUGGUUUUAACAAAAGUUUAAGUUUAAAAGAGACACAAAGGGCCUAAAAGUUUGGAUGGGUGUUAGUUCUUUUUGUAUUUUAGAAAUUUUAAGUCAAUAUGAUUAUAUUUAUUUACUAGUUUGAUUUAAGAAAAGGAGUUUAAAAAUUCAUUGGCAUAAAGCCAAAGUUUCUACUUUGAAAUAAAGUCUAAAUUUUGAAAUCACAAGCAAAGAAUAUUUUAAAAUGAGGGGAGAGAUUUUGAAAUUUAAGAAGUGGAAGGAGAUGAAGAGACUAAUCCUAAGCAUAAAAUUAAAAGUUAAGAGUUAAAAAGAUCUGACCAAUAGGAUGCAAUCCAACAGACAAGAAUGUCAUAUAGAAAACCCAUUUUCCCUUUGGACUCUGAAUCAAGCAAUAAUCAGCAAGCAAUUAGCAAUGUCAAGCAAGGCAUCAAAUAAAGAUGGUCAUACCCAAGCAUGCAAAUACAAUAGCUAGUAGUCUUCUUUGCCUUCUUAUGCACCAGAUGAAAUAUUCCUUGAUUAACUGAGAAUAAGGCAUUAGGUACCAGAUCAAAAUAAUAGUUGCAUCCAGACCAUGUAGCAGAUGAAUUCAAGUGGUUUUCAAUACUUGCAUCAGAUGAAAGCUUAAAUCACAAUAACUUUGUCUCAUAAAUGUUUGCAUUGGCCAAGUCCUUUUGCAUAGGGGAUGUUGCCUAAUUCUAAGUCUAAAAGCUCAAAUCAAAUCCAACAGUCCACACAAACAUUUUUUAAGGUUUUUGUUGUUUAUUAAGUAUUUUAAUGUCCUAAGACCACAAACACAAACAAAAUACACAAACAAAUAUAUACAAUCACAAUAUGUGGCUCAAAUGAAUAAAGUGAAAAUGACAUAAACAUUAACAAAUUAAAUGUUAUGUAAAUGACAAUGAAUGGUAAAUGACUUGAAGAUGUUAGUGAUGUUUUGCUUUUCAAUUGAUUCAGUCAUUCUUUGGAGAACACUUACCCCUCUGUUCACAAGCAUGGAUCCUUGAACCAAGACAUCUUCCAUAGGAAGGAAAAAAGGCCAAGUUUCCACACAAUACCAUGAAAGGGGGGAGAUUUACAAUCUCAAUUACUAAAAUUUUAUGCCUUUAGGGUCAAAUUUAGCUUUAUGUUAAGCAAUCAUAAUUGGACUUAUGUAGAAGUCACAACUAUCUGAGGUCGGGCAAUAAUUUUUUUGGUGUUAAUGCAUGUUAGAGAUAUGGUAUAAUGAACCAAACUCCUAAAACAUACCACACACAAAAAGAAAAAAAUCAAAGGAUAGACAUAUCUCAUCAAUACUUGUAUUGGUUCAUCUAACACAAUGUUAUUGAUGAACCAAUUAGCCUUAGGAUAUUAGAUUUCAUUGGUCAAUGAAAAGGAUGGGAGAGAAUAGGAUUGAAGAUGAAGAGGGAAGGGAGGUGAGAGAAACACAAAUUGGUCAUGGGAGGAAUUUUAUCAAAUUAAAAUCAUUCAUUCAUUUUGGUAGAUGAAAUAUACAUUUCAUCAAUCCCCUAAAUCCAAUGAUUUUAACUUAACAAAAGUCAAAUCAACUUUGACCAAGGCCCAAACACAUAGUCAAACAUCACAAGUUAAUAAAAAAGGCUCAACAUAAUUUCUAUACAAUUAAUCAAUUAAAAAUCAAAUUAUAAAUGCAUUUAAGUUAAAAUUAGUUUGGUCAAAACCUAAAACCACUUCAAAACACCAAAUAAAUGGCCAAGAGAUUUAUCCUAGGUCAAACAAGGUCAAAGGAUCUUAGAUAAAAAAAUUCAUGAUUUUUGAAAAGCCAGAAGUAUUUUUAAACAAUUAAAAAUAUGCACAAAAACCAUUAAUUCAUGAAAAAUAUCAAAACUAAUCCAAAAAAUAGUUUUAAUUCAGAAAAUGAAAGAGGAAAAUAUUUAAUUUUUUUUGGUGAAAGUCCCAUAUUUUUUGGAUUAAAAAUGAAAUUAAUAUGAAUUAAUCAAAAUAAGUGGAUUAAAUGAAAAAUCAAAAAAAUAAAAUAUAAAUAAAAAAACAAGGGUCAUCAGAUCUCCCUCAUUAAUUAAGGUGGCGGAUCAAAUGGCCAGACGCGCGCGUUCCACCAUGCACCAAGUCAAAUAUGUUGUACGCGGGGUAAUCAGCACUAAGGGCUAAGAUUAAAAUAAUUUGAAUGGAUCUUGUGGCUGAGAGGUGUGACAACACACACCAGAGCUAGGGUUCCGGUCUUCUACUCCGGUGGACCUCACCGGAUUGGUCCACCAUCAACCAAUACCAAAAUGAAAUCACAAAGACAUAGAUUUAAAGUAAAAAUGCUCAGGAGCUCGAAUCUGGCCUCAAUUUUCUCCAAUUUCAAGUAUAUAAAAAGAUACAUGGAUUUGAAUUUUGAGCAUCAUGAACUGAGUUUCUUCGAUUUAACCUCAAAUUAACUCAAUCUUCUUACCUACAUUGAUAGGACUUCAGACAACCAAAAAUGACAAAGAAUGGUGAAGAAUUGAGAGAGAAUCAAAGAGAUGAAGUUUAUGAAAAAUCACCUUCGAGUUGAUCCAAUUUCACUUAAUCUUGAUCUGGAUUUGUUUGCUUCCUCUUCCUCUUGCUUGCAGAAGCCAAUUGAGAUGAAAAGGGAAGUGAAUUUCCGGAGUUUGAACUUCCAAACAGAAGAUGAAGUUAAAUAUUGAUUUCAAGAGAAAGCUUCAUAAAUUCUCUGGCAGUGAGGGUUUGGAUCAGUAUAGCAAAGCUUGGGCAAGGUGUUGAUGUUAAUUCUGAAGCCAUUAGCUUGUUUAAAUAGGCAAUGAAAUUGAUUUUUGCACCACUUGAACUUUUGCCAAAUUUGGAAACCAUCUUGCAUGGAUGCAUGUGCAAUGAUUUGGGCCUAAGGGAUGAUGCAAUCCAUCUCCAAUUCGUGUGCAAUUGAUGUUGAAGUCAUUACAAUGAACCAUGCAAAGAAGAAUGAUAACUUGAAUCCAAAACUUGCCAAAACACUUCCCACAAUAGAGCCAUGUGCAAGUCCCUCAAUUUUGAUCCAAAGGCGACGAUCUUGGAGUUUUUGGAAACGUGAGAUCAAGGGGAAUAACUUUCAUGUUGAACACGUUUCCAUUUGAAUCUUGGAUAAUGAUUAAGUUUGAGGUGGAAGUUUGGGAAAUCGAACAUAUUUGAAAAUUUUCUAAGUCCCAAGUCAAAUGUUCACUUCUUCCACCUUGGAUAAUGUUUUCUAUGGACUUAAAAUGAAAUAAGUUCUUUCAUCAAAGUUAUAGAUAUUUCAAACCUCUUCUAUUUUGUCACAAACUUGACCUCAUUUGUAUUUGGCAUGGAGGAGUUAUGCAUUUUAGAAGUUGAGGAAAAUCACUUGUUCAAUGGUAUUGGCCCAAAAUGACCUAUAACGUUUCUUCUUGGCACAUGCAUUUUCAAGUUGAAUUUGAGCUUACUCCAAACAUAAAAGUUGAAUUAGACACCUUGAAUUUGAUCAUGGAAUUUGAAUGGAUUUCAUCUCAUAAGAAUUGAGCUAGUUAUGGUCUUGGGAAGUUGACCUCCAAACUAGAGUUCAGACAAAAUGACCUAUAAUCUUUCACCAUAAAAAAUGACUUUCCAAGCAAAACUAGAUCUUUUCUUUAACUUGAAAGUUGUUUGGAAUAUCAUUUAGAGUAACUUUUAUCUUGCAAUCAUUUUCAUAUGACAAAAAUUGUAGGAGAUAGGGUCUAGGGAACCCCAGUUUUGACUAGUUGACUUUCUCUGGUCAACCACCAUGAACCGUCUUACUAGCUUGACAUUUUCUUGACUUUUGGGACUCAUGGAGGAUCAUAUAUGUGUAGGAUGGUGUAAUAUGAAGUAUCCCUUGAAAUAUUUUAUCAAUUAAUGAAGAAACUUGUUGAAGAAGUCACACAAGAUACCCAAACGAAUUAGGGUUUCCAAGGCAAACAAACUCCAAACACUUGAUGAUUUCUUGAUCAAAAUGAGAUGUGAAUAUCAUGGGGAUCCAUAUAUGAUGAUUAGAGACAAUGUGAACCAUUUAUUGAUUGAACUCCUUGCAUUGAGGGUCUCAAACCCUAGAUAUGAGCUUGAUAGACCAUAUGUGAGCAUACACACUACCUACAAAAGCAACAAACUAUAUAUUGACAUAUUUUUGGUAUUUUGGUUAGUAAAUAAUGAAAAACAAAGUAUGAUACAAUCAAAAGUGCUUGGUGACCUCUCCCAAUGCAAACCCAAUGAAAGAGGGGUAAGGAGGACGCCAAGGUGUGAUCUCAAAGCUAAUGCAAAUGAUGAAAUAGCAUGAGGGGUCUUAGGGUCAAAAUUGGGGUCUUACAACUGCCCCUAUUUAAGGACAUUCUAACUGAGGAGGUGAAGGUUAAAAUAUUCGUAUCGACUCAGUAGAAUGGACUUAAAUAACAACAUAUAGAAACAAAUUUUGGUCCAUAAGAGACCUCGUGAUGCAUAUGAUAUGAAUGUUAAAACGAAUCUCUGUGGGGAAAACAUUGCGAAAAAGGAAAAGAAUCUGAAGAAACCGAAAGUCCGUAGGAGCAUAAUGCAUUCCGUAAGGAAAAACUCACUGGGGAGACAGAGACUCUGGGGAUAAACGGUUAUGCAUAGGCCAGUCUACGACUUAAAAACUGUUGGAGACACAAGGGAACUUCCACAAAAAUAAAUCAAUGGAAGGACUCGGCCGGGGAAUAAGGGAAAUAUGCAGAGGAAACAGGCACUACAACAAACAAGACCUUAGACAGCGCUUUUUUUAGCCUUAGACAGCGCUUUUUUUAGCCUUAGACAGCGCUUUAAAGCGCUGUCUAAACCUCCGCUGCUAAAGGUUUAGACAGCGCUUUU